GACGAACGCUGGCGGCGUGCCUAAUACAUGCAAGUCGAACGACGAGACUUUAACUGAUGCUUGCAUCGACCAAAGGAUCGGAGUGGCGAACGGGUGAGUAACACGUGGGUAACCUGCCUAUCAGAGGGGGAUAACACUUGGAAACAGGUGCUAAUACCGCAUAACAAUCAUAACCGCAUGGUUAUGAUUUGAAAGGCGCUUCUGGUGUCACUGAUAGAUGGACCCGCGGUGCAUUAGCUAGUCGGUGGGGUAACGGCCUACCGAGGCGAUGAUGCAUAGCCGACCUGAGAGGGUGAUCGGCCACAUUGGGACUGAGACACGGCCCAAACUCCUACGGGAGGCAGCAGUAGGGAAUCUUCGGCAAUGGACGAAAGUCUGACCGAGCAACGCCGCGUGAGUGAAGAAGGUUUUCGGAUCGUAAAACUCUGUUGUUAGAGAAGAACAGGAGAAGUAGUAACUGGCUUCUUUUUGACGGUAUCUAACCAGAAAGCCACGGCUAACUACGUGCCAGCCGCCGCCGU
rnacentral:rRNA from 1 species